UAGCUCAAUGGUAGAGCACUCGGCUUUUAACCGAUAAGUUCUGGGUUCGAGCCCC
rnacentral:tRNA from 21 species